rnacentral:lncRNA from 1 species
UAGUAAGUCAGGAUGAAACAAGACAUCCCAAGAAUCAGUCAUAAACUAGCAGACCUUUCCUCUCUUUUAGACUGACUUAACUCUUCUGUAUAUAAGACUGUUAACUUCAAGAUAUCUAACAGUUAAUGAUGCUGUAAUACCUAUAACUGCUGUACUGUAUUAAUAACAGCAAUAACACUCAAUACAGUAUUAUGAAUUUGAACUCUGGGUGUAAAUUUGUAAUCGAAGUCAUCAAAAUGCUUGGAUACGAACAUAAGUAUUGUACUGUAUUAUGAGUUUUGUUAUGAGUAUUUCACUGUAUUUGUCAUUGUACGGUUAUGAACCAUCUCAUAGCCGAUACAGUAUUAAUUUUUAUUGCUCAGAAAUAUAGCAACUAAUCUGAAUGGUGGUAAUCAUUAAUGGCUGCUCUUUUGCUAAUAUUCCAUCCUACUCCUUAUGCUAUACUGAAUAUUUACACUGUCAGGCUAACUAAUCAACUAAUUCCAUAUUAAUAAUCAUCGUGCUUUGUGGAAAUUAUUAUUGAGUCUACCUAUUCGAUAUUCUUGACUACUCGGUGAUAUAAGUUAUAUGUGUUGAGUUUUUCAUAUAUUAGGAGAAUUUUAGUUAUAGGGAAAUACAGUUUGAGUUUAUAUUUGACGACGAUUUAAACUGUUUGGUGUAGCUGCUGUAUGGAUGUGAGGUCUCAGAUAUCAUAUAGGUCCUGGUAUGUCCCAGAGGUGCUAUAGGUGGAUAUAUUGCCCAACAUAUCUCCCCUCCCUCCCCAUCUUAGCGUAUGUUUGUAAAUAUACCAUACAGUACCUAGUCAGUGAUUCAUACGAUGUGUUCCCGUGUGUUCGGUUGAGGUAUACGGACCCAUAUACUAAGAGUGAUACAAUGUGUUCCCAUGUGUUCGGUUGAGGUAUACGGACCCACAUACUAAGAGUGAUACAAUGUGUUCCCGUGUGUUCGGUUGAGGUAUACGGACCCAUAUACUAAGAGUGAUACAAUGUGUUCCCGUGUGUUCGGUUGAGGUAUACGGACCCACAUACUAAGAGUGAUACAAUGUGUUCCCAUGUGUUCGGUUGAGAUAUACGGACCCACAUACUAAGGGUGAUAUGUGUUCCCAUGUGUUCGGUUGAGGUAUACAGAGUCACAAUUAACAGGUAGCCAAUUUGGUUACUGUCUACCUUACUGUAAUAAUCAAAAUACCAUCUGUUUGCAAUACCCUGUGUUCUACUACGCUGGUUGACGGUGUACCAUAGUAUUACGACUCUCCUUGUGUUCAGUGUACCUUGUAACAUAAGUGUACCAUAGUAAAGUGUCAUGGCUAUUAACUGUAACUUGUAACAUAGUGGACAGUGUACUAUAGUAGUGUGGAAGGUGUCAUGGCUGUCAACUGUACCCUGUAAUAUAGUGGGAAGUGUACCAUAGUAUUAAUGCUAUUGUAACUUAUCAUUGUAUUAGAAUGGAAGUUGUAACUGUCCCCUGUACCCUAACAACAGUAGUGGGCAGUGUACCAUAGUAUUAAAACACUCCAUUGGACCUUUUAACAGCAAUUAUGUACAAGACCCCAUGGUAUAAAAACUUAAACUUUCCCCGCCGUCGAGUAACAUAUCAACGUACGCGACAUCAUACCACAGCCUGCCGUACUCUGCGUUGUAAUUGAAGUCGGACCGCCAUGGUAUAAAGGCCAAUCUACCGUCUAUAAUACUUCACACGGCUUCAGAAAUUGGCCGUUACAGUGAAUAAUGACACCACUAGGCAAUUAUCUAUCACCAAGAAUAGGACCCACAGCUUAAAUAAAAAACUAGUCAGUGGUCUUAACUAUUGUACUAUUUUAUAUUAAUAAUUGAAGUAAUAAGUAAACAGCCAUAAUGACCCAGAAUUAUUGGAUUAUAGUUUAAUUUGUUUAUUCAGUUGGGGAAUUAUUUACCCCACUUGGUAUAGUCCUCAGUAUUGGCUUACACAGCUUAGUAACUUGGAGGUGUGAUUGUUGUUAGUGGAUAAGUAUAGUCCAUCAACACACUGUCAGCUAGGGUAGGUGGUCUGAGGGCUAUGUGUCAUCUAGUACGAGCAAGUAGACAUUUACUUUAGUAUUUACUCCUUACAUUAAGUACAUAUUGUGGGUGAAGAAACACAAUGUAUCUCUAUAUAAACUGCUAUUGCUUAAUACAUUGAUUCUGUUGAGGCUUAUAACACUUCAAUAACAUAACCCGUAAUUAUGCUUGACUGUAUCCUCGACUUAGACAAAAAAAUACAGUCGCUUUACCACAAUAGACAAAAAAAUACAGUCGCUUUACCACAAUAGACAAAAAAAUACAGUCGCUUUACCACAAUAGACAAAAAAAUACAGUCGCUUUACCACAACCUAUCAAGAAAAUAUAAUCUUAAAGUCACAUCUUUUUAAUUGCAAACUUAUCAAACAAAUUGUACCAAAUAUGUUAAAAAUUACCAAUAUCUUGUAUAAAUAACUUCAAAGUACAGUUUAUAUCGCUUAUUGCUAUCUUCAUUAUCUUGAUGUUGUUCUUGGGUGUUUGCGUUUUCUUAAAAGUGCAAAAUCUUGUGUUGCGUAUACCUGUACAUAUUGAGUUAAGUGUAUAUUUUGACGUGUGGGUGUAGGUACAGUGUGUAGUGUGGUAUUUGUGAUGUGUGUCCGGGUGUGUCGUAUUUGUGAUGUGUGUCCGGGUGUGUCGUAUUUGUGAUGUGUGUCCGGGUGUGUCUAGGAACGGAUACACUGCAAGAAUACCUGGGCCUUAUUUUAAACACGAAACACGUCGGAUUCAGCAGCAGGGAAUGAAAGAAUGGGGGUGAAUUAGUGAGGGAGUGAAUGAGUUAGAAUAUGAAUGAAGAUGAAAGACAAUGAGAGAUGAAUAAGGAUGAAUGAAUGAGGGUUAAUGAAGGUGAAAUGUGAGUUAAUACGAGAAAAAAGAGUUUGUGUUUGUGUACAUGUGUGUGUGUGUGGGUGUUGUGUUUGUGUACAUGUAUGUGUGUGUGUUUGUAAGAGAGAUAUUGAGAUAGUGUAAACAACCAAUAUUCUAACAACCAUCGUCAUAAGGUACAAUGCUAAAUAUCCGAACUCGAAAGUCACGAAGAUUCAAACAUUAAUUUUCUUUACCAUAACUAAGAAUGAGAGAGAGAGAGAAUCAAGUUAAGUUAUGCCAUUUUUGACAUUAUUGUUGUAUCUUGUGAAAUAAUUUAGAUUCGUACAAUAAUUUACAUAUCAAGUUGUUCGAUACUGACUAUACCAACCUUUGAGAAUGUGAACCCUUGUAGGAAAUCAUAUUGUAGUUGUUUUAAGUAUAUUGGAGUGUAACUAAAGUAGGUACUGUAGUUUGUGGAAUAAUUUUAGAUGUAUUUUACUGUUUCUGUGUUAAUUAAGUGUUUAUGGUAACUGUAUUUUUUGACUUUGUAAUGGGUUCAUAUUUUUAAAGAUUAUAUCCCCAGUUCCUUCAUAACUGGGGGUGUGUGAGAGUGAAUCUAUUUAACUCAUAUAGAACACAAAAAUAUCCAAACUGGUGUAUAACAUAACAAUGAAAAUCUACUUUAACUAUAGUCCAUUUCUUUUUUAACUUGGUGAAAUUUGGUCAGGUCCCCAAUUUGAAUACUUUGUUGUAAUUGGGUGAACCUCGAAGUGAAAGAAGGCCAGGUCCCCAAUUUGAAUACAGUACUUUGUUGUAAUUGGGUGAACCUCGAAGUGAAAGAAGGCCAGGUCUCCAAUUUGAAUGCUGUGUCGUGAUUGGGUGAAUCUCGCGGAGCCACGGGUGGAAUUAACCAAUCAUGUUACGGAUAAAUUUAUUACCCUUCUUUUUCGAUUGAGUUAUUUACCAUCGACAUAAUCAGUACAGUAAUCCAAUUUUCUUGUCCCCUGUGGUUAACGAGGGAAUGACAGUGAGAUAAAUAGCCAAAUAUGGAGAAACAUCAUUGAGGAAGAGCUGUAAUAAUCCCUUCUGCCAUUAUGUAUCAACCAAUCAGCUACAAGGGGGGCGGGGCAUCUUCACCAGGAAACUUUAAAUGGACUGUUGAUGAGCUUUAUAAAACACAAAAUAAAUAUCUUGUUUAUAUUAAGUCUGAAUUAAGUUCUUUCUACAUUUUCAUUAAUUAGGAAAAUUAUUCAUAAGAGUUUCUGUGAUUCCGACCACAUGUGUAGAAAAUAUUGUUGAAAAAACUAUAAUACAGCUGAAUACUGUAUUACUGUAUUACUUGUAUACAAACUUAUAUCAUGGUAAUUUAGUCCGGUAAUGUAUAAUCUAUUUCGAGUUACUGAGAGUUGUACUGCGUCAGUACUUUAGUGAAGCUGUAUUAUGUAAACCCUUGUCAUGGUAAUUUAGUCCGGUAAUGUAUAAUGUUUGAAGAGAGUCUGAGAGUUGCACUACAUCACUACAAGAAGGAAGUUAAUAAUAGUGUAAAUUUCGUCAAUAUUUGUAAGCCUAAGCUGUACUUACUGUUCAUAUUCACGGUGCUCAUUGAAUUAUUUUUUAAGUUUGCCAAAUAAUGUGUUUAUGUGUGAUUCUGUCCAACUGCUACUCUUGUGAUUGUUAUAAAUAUAUAUAUUUUGUGUUGCUAAUAAAUCAUAUUUUAAUCAAA